UGUCAUUUGGAAAUAAUUACAUAGAAUCACCCAGGUUGGAAAAGAUCUCUGAGGUCACUGAGUCCAAUCUUUGACCUACCACCACCUUGUCUACUAGACCAUGGUAGUGAGUGCCACAUCCAGCCUCU